rnacentral:rRNA from 1 species
UACGGAGGGAGCUAGCGUUGUUCGGAAUUACUGGGCGUAAAGCGCGCGUAGGCGGCUUUGUAAGUUAGAGGUGAAAGCCCGGGGCUCAACCCCCGGAAUUGCCUUUAAGACUGCAUCGCUUGAAUCCGGGAGAGGUGAGUGGAAUUCCGAGUGUAGAGGUGAAAUUUCGUAGAUAUUCGGAAGAACACCAGUGGCGAAGGCGGCUCACUGGACCGGGCAUUGACGCUGAGGUGACGAAAGGCGUGGGGAGCAAACAGG